CUGGUUGAUCCUGCCAGUGGUAUAUGCUUGUCUCAANGACUAAGCCAUGCAAGUCUAAGUAUAAGUUAUUCUGAAGACGAAACUGCGAAUGGCUCGGUAAAACAGCAAUAAUUUCUUCGGUGAUGAUUUUACUCACGGAUAACCGUAGUAAUUCUAGAGCUAAUACGUGCUGAAAUAAGGUGGGGCUUGCUCCACCGUGCCGUUUAGAUAACAACACCAACUUUUGGUGAUUCAUAAUCGUCUUUCUGAUCGCUCUCGAGCGACACACCGUUCAAAUUUCUGACCUAUCAACUUUCGAUGGUAAGGUAGUGUCUUACCAUGGUAGUGACGGGUAACGGACCGUGGGUGCGGGACUCCGGAGAGGGAGCCUGAGAAACGGCUACCACAUCCAAGGAAGGCAGCAGGCGCGCAACUUACCCAAUCCAGACUCUGGGAGGUAGUGACAAGAAAUAUCAAUAGGGGAACCUUUGGUUCUUCUAAUUGGAAUGAGAUCGAGCUAAACAGCCAUAUCGAGCAUCCAGCAGAGGGCAAGUCUGGUGCCAGCAGCCGCGGUAAUUCCAGCUCUGUAAGCGUAUACCAAAGUUGUUGCAGUUAAAACGCUCGUAGUCGGACUUUGGCAAUUCCGGGAGUGUGCGCGUCGUGCGCAUGCUUUGCGGGGAUUGCUUUUGUGGUAUUGCGUGGGAUGAAGCAUUUUUAUUAAUGAACGUCCCUUCGCAACCACUUUUUACUGUGAGAAAAUCAGAGUGCUCAAAGCAGGCAUUUGCCGUGAAUGUAUUAGCAUGGAAUAAUAGAAUAGGACUUGUUUCUAUUUUGUUGGUUUGUUGGGAAUGAGUAAUGAUUAAGAGGGACAGUUGGGGGUAUUUGUAUUUCGGCGCUAGAGGUGAAAUUCUUAGAUUGCCGA
rnacentral:rRNA from 1 species